rfam:Bacillus sp. HMSC76G11 genomic scaffold Scaffold626, whole genome shotgun sequence.
UCUUGCAAGCAGAAGCACCCGCUUCUCACCUGAUCGACGCAUCAUUGCAGUCUGCAGGUUUACGACUAUAUAUACUUAGUAUACUAAAUCGUAGUGUGGGUGUUUUGUGCGCCCACACUUUUUUGUUUUU